rnacentral:misc_RNA from 1 species
AUGAAACAUGUCUUUCCCUUAGAUGGUGUAUGCUUAAUACCUAGUUUCCUUAUUUCUCAACUACAUAAUUUUCAUGCUAUUGCCAUAGUGCCUGUCAUUUAUUCUUGGAAAUCCACAAUCAAUUACGGAAUUACCUUUUGGUAUCUCUACAAGCCAUCUGAAAGAUAUAUUUGCAUUGGUAGGUUCUCCCACUUGCUCGAAAG